GGGGCUGAUCGGUUUCGACUCCGUCGAUCGCGCCAGGGGAAGCGUGCCGGUGCAGGCUGGAGACCACCGUUGAAGCGUCGCAGCAAUCUCAUAAGCGCCGAGAAGAACACUCAGCGCGACUACGCCCUCGCUGCGUAAGCUAGCGAGCGCGUGUCUGUCAGCCCGGGCACUGUCCCUGGCCCGGUGACUGGCAUCGACUAAAGGGACUUGCCGCCGAGGCCGGGCUUCCGGGGCCUCGACGGGACUCCUUCCGGAAGCUGGGCCCAUCGUCCGGAUGCGUUUGCGUAAGCCGGAGGGCCGACUAACGGAUCUAUCGCAAACUGCGCACGGAGAAGCCCUGGCGCGGUGACGGAGGACCCGGGUUCGAUUCCCGGCAGCUCCACCA
rnacentral:tmRNA from 1 species